GGGCCAGAGCGCUCGCUCACACGUCACCUGACAGCAAGCCCCCCUGGCAGCGGAUCACAUGACCGAGCUCACAUGCACUAGCCCAGUUAACGGGUAUUCUGAGUGAGUGGAGCUGUAUAUGAUGGAAAUCUGACCAGUUCCUUUCUCAAGAGACCAAAAUCCAUUCCAAAUCCAAGCGCAUCCACCUAUGCUCUACACAGCUCUUCCCACUGCAUCCUGUAAGGACUUCAACAAUGUUCCUGGGCCAUAUUCAUUCUAUUCUGAUGGUGAUUCUUCCACAUGAGUCCUUACGAGAACCAUCAAUUUCUCUUCUAUGAAGGUGCCUGUGGACCUGUCAGAGUCCAUGAUCUACACCUGCACUGAAACUACGUUCUUCACAAGCCAUUGAUUCUCGCUCUUCUGAACUCCCUGAGCGGACUGCGCCUCGGGAUCUUCAGCUGUGGCUUGGGAGGCGUGUGCCUUCACACACAUGAUUCCUUGCCGACUGAAGUUCUAUUCAAAAAGUUCAAAGGAACAUCUAAACAAGCCUGAUGCAUUUUGGAAACAAGUCCUGUGGACUGAUGAAGUUAAAAUAGAACUUUUUGGCCGCAAUGAGCAAAGGUAUGUUUGGAGAAAAAAGGUGCAGAGCUCCAACUGUUAAGCACGGGGGUGGAUCGAUCAUGCUUUGGGCUUGCGUUGCAGCCAGUGGCACGGAGAACAUUUACUGGUAGAGGGAAGAAUAAAUUCAAUGAAAUACCAGCAAAUUCUGGAAGCAAACAUCACACCGUCUGUAAAAAAGCCGAAGAUGAAAAGAGGCUGGCUUCUACAACAGGAUAAUGAUCCUAAGCACACCUCAAAAUCCACGAUGGACUACCUCAAGAGGGGCAAGAUGAAGGUUUUGCCAUGGCCCUCACAGUCCUCCAACCUAAACAUCAUCGAGAAUCUGUGGAUAGACCUCAAAAGAGCAGUGCAUGUAAGACGGCCCAAGAUCUCACAGAAUUAGAGGCCUUUUGCAAGGAAGAAUGGGCAAAAGUCCACCAAACAAGAAUUGAAAGAGUCUUAGCUGGCUGCAAAAAGCAUUUACAAGCUGUGAUACUUGCCAAAGGGGGUGUUACUAAGUACUGCCAUGCAAGGUGCCCAAACUUUUGCUUCGGGCCCUUUUCCUUUUUUGUUAUUUUGAAACUGUAAA